rnacentral:rRNA from 1 species
CCUACGGGUGGCUGCAGUGGGGAAUAUUGCACAAUGGGGGAAACCCUGAUGCAGCGACGCCGCGUGAAGGAAGAAGUAUUUCGGUAUGUAAACUUCUAUCAGCAGGGAAGAAAAUGACGGGACCUGACUAAGAAGCACCGGCUAACUACGGGCCAGCAGCCGCGGGAAUACGGAGGGGGCAAGCGUUAUCCGGAUUUACUGGGGGUAAAGGGAGCGGAGGCGGUUUAGCAAGUCAGAAGUGAAAGCCCGGGGCUCAACUCCGGGACUGCUUUUGAAACUGUUGAACUAGAGUGCAGGAGAGGUGAGUGGAAUUCCAAGUGUAGCGGUGAAAUGCGUAGAUAUUAGGAGGAACACCAGUGGCGAAGGCGGCUUACUGGACUGUAAAUGACGCUGAGGCGCGAAAGCGUGGGGAGCAAACAGGAUUAGAUACCCGGGUAGUC